ensembl:lncRNA novel transcript, antisense to LYPLA2
GUGGGGCUGGAGGCUGUGGUUGGGGCAAAGCGCCAGUAAUGGAGAAGCAGAGCCCAGCGCUUGGUGUGACGGGGUCCCAGGUAGUCGGAUCAUGAAUGGAAUGACACACUCUGAACCGAAGAGACCUUACAGAUCAUCUAGUUCUCCAGCCUUGAAGAUGGGGAAACUGAGGCUCAAGGAAGGCAUGUAAACAGCAACCUCGGGAUUCCAUUUAAAUUCUGCCUCUCUGGAUCUGCUUCCUGAUAUAUAAAAUGGUAAUAACCACCCUG